rnacentral:rRNA from 1 species
GACAGAGGAUGCAAGCGUUAUCCGGAAUGAUUGGGCGUAAAGCGUCUGUAGGUGGCUUUUUAAGUCUGCCGUCAAAUCCCAGGGCUUAACCCUGGACAGGCGGUGGAAACUACCAAGCUGGAGUACGGUAGGGGCAGAGGGAAUUUCCGGUGGAGCGGUGAAAUGCGUAGAGAUCGGAAAGAACACCAACGGCGAAGGCAGCUCGCUGGGACGGUACUGACGCUGAGGCGCGAAAGCGUGGGGAGCAAACAGG